UUACAUUUACAUUUUAGUCAUUUAGCAGACGCUCUUAUCCAGAGCGACUUACAGUAGUGAAUGCAUACAUUUCAUACAUUUUUUUCCAUACUGGUCCCCCGUAUUCUGAUCUACAUAGAUCAUCUAAAAACAAAGGAAAUGUAUAUCAAUGAACUUUAUUGAGCUUUGUAUACAUUGCACCAUUAUAAUAGAAAUAGAAAAUAGAAUAGAUAGCGUAAAGGCAAAAAAUUAACACAAGUGUUUUUGGUUAACUUCAUAUUCUUGUCUUUUUUCAGUUUCCUGCUCAGGGAAGCAAUGUUGGAAUGGAAGUGUUUGAGUACUUCCAAUCUGUACUGAUUAUUCUUGCAAUGCAUUGUGCAAAGAAACAUAAGAUGGCGGCAGGGCAGUUUUGCUGAGCGUGUUGUGCCACACUGUUUGUUUGUUUCAAGUGUUACAAGUUUUUAUUACUUAGCAAAACCGUUAUAGGCUGCGAGAGUUGUCAUUAAACAACAGGCAAAAUCUAAAAUCCUACAUGAUCAAAUCAAUUAAAACUUUAAAUUGACAUCUGCUGGUUUCUACACGAUGAGAUAAAGCCGGUGUGGUGCCCUCCCUGAAAGCCGAGAGAGAAUACAUCUGUGCUGUGACUGACGGUCUAGACACGUUGGGCCGACUAGCCUUGGAUACUCCUCCACGGUCAGGUUUUAAUUAGUGUUUCGCCAUUCUACCGGAGUCUUCUGACUCCUCUCCUGCCCCGCUGUGUGGUGGAAGCCGGAGGUUGGUAUCUGCACUGUGACAACGUCUAGAUGCGCUAGGCUUCCUAGCCCAGGAUACCCCUGUCAGGUGGACUAGCCACCAGUGAUUAGCCGGUCUACUGGGCCUGCUCUGCCUCACUGUGCGGUCUGGACUAGCAGAUGUUUACAGCAGAGACAAGCUUUUCAUCCUUACUCCACCAACAUAUCUACAAAAUAUCCCUGCCUAAAUUAUAGUUUUUAGUAAGACCUGUUGUUGGGAUUUGUAAAAAAAAUCUAAAGCUACUGAUCUGACCAAAUAUACUGAGUAGAAUUUUUUUGGUCUGGAAUAAGUAGAUUUGGUUUGAACACCCCCAUUAUUAUAUGAACUGUUUUCACCGUUGUUCUUAAAGAGUGACAAAUUAAGGACAUUUAUUGGGAUAUCUGUCAGCAAAAUGCAAUAAAAAGUACCAACAUGUAGUUAGAUAUGAGGUGAAAUGUUCCAUAUUUAAAUCAAUAUAAUGAUUGUACACAAGUUUACAAAAUUGUACAUCAUGCACAGUAACUGAAACUGAAAUACCCACUGUUGAUUAUUAAUUGGAAAUGUAACAAACAAAGAUGAACAACAAUUAAUAAUUUAAGUAGAUUGGGACCCUUGUUAGUCAAGAGGAGCAACCCAGCAGACACAGAGCAACCACAGAAUGUUGCCACAACAAAGUUGUGUGGUGGUUGUAUAGUAUUGCAUAUUGCACCUGUCAUUGUAAGCCCUCUGUGUUCUGUAAUUUUUUUCCCAGAUUAUACAGUAAGAAUAAAAUUGUUUGGAAUAUGUAUUUGUUUGGUUGUG
rnacentral:lncRNA from 1 species